UAUGUUCAUUAUUAUUCUACGAAAUUAUCCAUGUUGAAUGAAUUAGAAAUCUUCGGAAAACGAGCUGUUUCGUGUAUUAUCGGGGGAAUUACAGAUGUAUUAGUGAGAACUAGUGCUAAAGCAGGCCAGUAUGAAAGUCCGGAAAUGCUCUUAUGUUAUCUUAGCAGUUUGACGGAAACGCAAAUUUUGAAUACCGAAUUUCAGCGCAAGUCACAGGAGACCGUUAUGUGUUACUAUUGUAAUAAGCCAGGGCAUAAAUUUAGAUACUGUAAAAUGCGAAAUUAAAAUGUUGCACAUUCGUUCGUUGUUAUUAUUGGACGGUAUCGGUCAUAUUUCGAAAAAAAAAAAAAAACUGAAAAUUACAUUGGUUUAAAAUUUAAAAUAGAAAAUUUUAUCAAAAUAUUUUUGGAUGAAGAGUAAAAGACGUCUCGGGACGAGCCGAAUUUCAGGAUGGCCGAAUGUAAUAAAAAUAAUUUGUUAAAUACUAAAUUUAUUAACCAAUGAUGUGUUUGUGUUUGUGAAUCACAUUAGUUUGUGCGUAACUAUAUAAAAAUUAUAAUAAACAAAUUAUACGAACUUCAAUCCUGACAAAAGCAGAACGAAGGCGUAAAUUUGAAUGAAGUCUGAGCUGGUUGGUCUAUCCGCUGCAACGGCCUGACGAAAGAACUUCCUGACUUGUGAUUUGAAUUGUUAUUGACAAUGUAAUUCACGUCCAAAUAAAAAUAUCUAUAUUACAA